UGCAGCCCCAAGCCAAGGCUGCAACUCCUCCUGUAGUCACAGCCCUACAGUGACUGUAGGAGUUCUCCAGGCAAGGCUCUGCACCUGGAGAGGUCCAUCUUUGGUGAGUGAAGCCAGGCCUCUAGGGCACAGGGAAAGGCUGGGCACGUUCCUAUCUCAAGCAUAUUCCUCAUUCGUCUUCCUUCCCUCAAUCCAGACCAUGAGAGCCUAACCAUACAAUGACCAUACCCUCUAUAAGGGCAGCCCUCUGAUGUACAACCUACAGCAACCACGCCCGGAAGCCAGCCAAUCACCUACAGCAACCAGCCAGGAGGCCAAACCAUGACCCCUGUAAUGAUUGGUCCAAAGGCCAGAACUUGACCAGUUAAGUGCCCAUGGCCACUGCUUGAGCCCACUCUCCCAAAAUGCACAUCUGAGUCUGGCCACCAUGAAGCAGAGCAGCAAGCCACGGUGAGGGUAAAAGUAAAGUCUGAAAGCCUUAACACCCCCUUCUGGAUGCAGAAGAUAGAAAGACUGAAAAACUGUGCUGGGUCACAGGUGUCUGAGGAGAAGCAACAAUUAGAUAUGCUGCGUGCACCUGGAUCAAUUCCUGGACAAUGUCAAUGGAAUGCCUGGCAAAACAGGAACAGGGUCCGUGGGUUAAGUGGCAGGAAACUAUGCUGAAAUGUUUAGAAGAGACAGGACCUCCUGCUCCUGUUCCAAGUCCACCCGACCACUGCCUCUUCCAGGGACGGGUCUGCUGUACCCACUGGGACAGACCUCCCCCACGACCUGAAAGUUCCAGAAAGACCAAUGACAGAAAGUUCCAGAAAAGACCAAUGACAGUAUGUGCGCACACAUGUGCAUACAUAUGAACGCACACCCGUGCAGACGUACAUAUACAUGCGUAUGCCCACACAAAAAUGCACACACAUACAUGGUGGGGAGAGGAGGGGCACACCAGAGCAAAUGCGGUAAAUGCCAACUCUGGGGGCAUCUGGAUAAGGCAGAUAUGAAACUUCGUUGCUCUGUGAAUGAGUAGGAACCCUGUGCCACUCACAGACAUGGCACCACUGCUGAGCCUCAGGAUACGGGGACAGUCACAGCUGUCCCCUCCACCCCACUCCGCAGUGGCCACAGGCAACCUGAGUGGGGUCACCAGCACAACCUGGCCACUUCCCCAGGCCCCCGUGACCUCACCUGAACUUGCUUCAGGGACAGGCCAGGUGAAUUCACACUGGGAGGUUUUCUGACACUUUUGCCAGAGGCACGCAUAUGACACUCCCAUUUAACAGAUUUACUUCUUGUCAUUAAAUUUUAAAAUGUAGUUACUGUCAUAACCUGUAUGUAGCUGUGUGUGUAGAGAAAAGCACCGCGGAACUUACAGACGAGGACUCUACGAUAUGGAUCUACUAGACAUUUCAGUGUAGGAGACUCCUUCCUAAGACAGUGUAGGGGGCUGACGGCAGGCACAGUGACAACACCGACCUGCCAGGGAACUGGCCAAGGCCACGUGAGCCGGCUUACCUGGGUGUGGGGUAAAGUGUGCAUGCGGCCCACACUGUGGCGGGAGCUCCCCACAGUACUGGUGCUGGAGCCUCUUCUCUGGACCACACCCUCGAGAGCUGCCUUUCUUCCUCUCGUGGCCCUUCUUUAUGGAGUCCCCACACUGGUGCUGCAUUGAGUGGGGACUCAACAGAUGUCCA